rnacentral:rRNA from 1 species
AAGAGGGGCCCGCGUCCCAUCAGCUAGUUGGUAGGGUAAUGGCCUACCAAGGCGACGACGGGUAGCUGGUCUGAGAGGACGACCAGCCACACGGGAAUUGAGAUACGGUCCCGACUCCUACGGGAGGCAGCAGUGGGGAAUCUUGGGCAAUGGGGGAAACCCUGACCCAGCGACGCCGCGUGGGGGAUGAAGGCCUUCGGGUCGUAAACCCCUGUUAGGUGGGACGAACAUCUCCUAGUGAAUAGCUAGGGGAUCUGACGGUACCACCAGAGAAAGCCCCGGCUAACUCCGUGCCAGCAGCCGCGGUAAUACGGAGGGGGCGAGUGUUGUUCGGAAUUACUGGGCGUAAAGGGCGCGCAGGCGGCUUGGCAAGUCGAGUGUGAAAUCCCUUGGCUUAACUGAGGAAUGGCGCUCGAAACUACCUCGCUGGAGGGCGGGAGAGGGAAGUGGAACUCUCGGUGUAGGGGUGAAAUCUGUAGAUAUCGAGAGGAACACCGGUGGCGAAGGCGGCUUCCUGGCCCGUACCUGACGCUGAGGCGCGAAAGCGUGGGGAGCAAACAGGAUUAGAUACCCUGGUAGUCCACGCCGUAAACGAUGAUAACUAGCUGUCCGGGUUCAUAGAACUUGGGUGGCGCAGCUAACGCAUUAAGUUAUCCGCCUGGGGAGUACGGUCGCAAGAUUAAAACUCAAAGGAAUUGACGGGGGCCUGCACAAGCGGUGGAGCAUGUGUUUAAUUCGAAGCAACGCGCAGAACCUUACCAACGUUUGACAUCCCUAUCGCGGUUUCCAGAGAUGGAUUCCUUCAGUUCGGCUGGAUAGGUGACAGGUGCUGCAUGGCUGUCGUCAGCUCGUGUCGUGAGAUGUUGGGUUAAGUCCCGCAACGAGCGCAACCCUCGCCUUUAGUUGCCAGCAUUUAGUUGGGCACUCUAAAGGGACCGCCGGUGAUAAGCCGGAGGAAGGUGGGGAUGACGUCAAGUCCUCAUGGCCCUUAUACGUUGGGCUACACACGUGCUACAAUGGCGACUACAGUGGGCAGCUACUCCGCGAGGGGAAGCUAAUCUCCAAAAGUCGUCUCAGUUCGGAUUGUUCUCUGCAACUCGAGAGCAUGAAGGCGGAAUCGCUAGUAAUCGCGGAUCAGCAUGCCGCGGUGAAUACGUUCCCAGGCCUUGUACACACUGCCCGUCACACCAUGGGAGUUGGAUUCACUCGAAGGCGUUGAGCUAACCCGCAAGGGAGGCAGGCGACCACAGUGGGUUUAGCGACUGGGGUGAAGUCGUAACAAGGUA